ACCGGACCGCUUUUAUUUAAUGAUUCUUUUUAGAUCUUUCUUUUUUGCUUCAACAUAAUAGAAAAUCUUAUUACUUUGAGUAAAUUAGAGUGUUCAAAGCAAACAGAUUAUAGCAUCUUUAUGCGUUUGAAUACUACAGCAUGGAAUAACAAAAUUGAACAAGUCAGAAUUUUGUUCUUUUUUCUUAUUUUGGCUUAGUUACGAUUAAUAGGAGUAGCUUGGGGGCAUUUGUAUUCAGAUGUCAGAGGUGAAAUUCUUAGAUUUUCUGGAGACAAACAACUGCGAAAGCAUUUGCCUAAAAUACUUCCAUUAAUCAAGAACGAAAGUUAAGGGAGUGAAGACGAUCAGAUACCGUCGUAAUCUUAACCAUAAACUAUGCCGACUAGGCUUUUUGGGAAUG
rnacentral:rRNA from 1 species